rnacentral:rRNA from 1 species
GCUGGCGGCGUGCUUAACACAUGCAAGUCGAACGAUGAACCCUUCGGUGGGGAUUAGUGGCGAACGGGUGAGUAACACGUGGGCAAUCUGCCCUUCACUCUGGGACAAGCCCUGGAAACGGGGUCUAAUACCGGAUACGACCAUCAGGGGCAUCCCUUGGUGGUGGAAAGCUCCGGCGGUGAAGGAUGAGCCCGCGGCCUAUCAGCUUGUUGGUGAGGUAAUGGCUCACCAAGGCGACGACGGGUAGCCGGCCUGAGAGGGCGACCGGCCACACUGGGACUGAGACACGGCCCAGACUCCUACGGGAGGCAGCAGUGGGGAAUAUUGCACAAUGGGCGAAAGCCUGAUGCAGCGACGCCGCGUGAGGGAUGACGGCCUUCGGGUUGUAAACCUCUUUCAGCAGGGAAGAAGCGAAAGUGACGGUACCUGCAGAAGAAGCGCCGGCUAACUACGUGCCAGCAGCCGCGGUAAUACGUAGGGCGCAAGCGUUGUCCGGAAUUAUUGGGCGUAAAGAGCUCGUAGGCGGCUUGUCACGUCGAUUGUGAAAGCUCGGGGCUUAACCCCGAGUCUGCAGUCGAUACGGGCUAGCUAGAGUGUGGUAGGGGAGAUC